UCUAUUUAAGCCCGACGGAACGCCGGCGUAUUCACUGGGAAUCUCCUCAACCGACGCCGUGAGUGCUAACACAAGUUCAAGCGGAGGCAGCGUCAGUGCCGGAACUCCACCGACGGUGCCGGAGAGCUCUUCCACUGGUUACUUGUCUAUUUCUAGUGCAACGGGAACACAUAAGACUGUCAUUGGCCAUCUGUUUUUUCCGUUGGCAUUGUUGAUGAUCUGCUGGGCCUUCAGAUUUCCGUUUUGAACAGUACCUUUGCAACGGCUUCAUCGAAAGGGAAUCAGUCGGUAAAGCCAGAGGGCGAUGGGGAGAGGGAAAUCUAGAGUGAACAGGAAGCGGUUAUAGGGAAGGUGAACUUCUGUUCCUUUACUUGUACGCUACAAAGUGCAAAGCAUCUAUCUUUUGCUUAGUUGACUCAUAACUGCCUGCCAGAAAGUGCCACCUUUGGUGGGCACAAAUUCGUAAUGACCUUUAAAUCUCCCUAAUUGGGCCCUUUGCUACCCACUUUUGUUGAUAAUAGAUGUCUUUGAUUUGUUUGAUUAAAAAAUUUAGAGCAAUUAUCGUCGGCUUUUGCACUUUUUAGUUGGCAAUAAACUGUCAACUUUUUUUCUUUUCACUUUGUCCUUUGCAGCGUAUUCAUUGUGUAACAAAUUUUAAAUUAUAUUAUCUUUGUUGAGGGGGGUCGUCUAGAUCAGCUACACGGAUUAUUCGCACUUAGAUUAUUGAAUUAUUGUUCCUGUUUGUAUCUCCCUUUCAUUUAUCGUGGAAUGGGAUUUUGUUUUUACGAUGAUAAUCUACCCCUCAUCUGUACUUUAAUGCUCACUCCAUGCUUCCAGUACUCUGAAUUUCACAACCCAGGAAAAAU
rnacentral:misc_RNA from 1 species